rnacentral:rRNA from 1 species
GACAGAGGGUGCAAACGUUGUUCGGAAUUACUGGGCGUAAAGCGCGUGUAGGCGGCAGGGUAUGUCGGAUGUGAAAUCCCGUGGCUCAACCACGGAAGUGCACCCGAAACUACCCAGCUUGAGUCUCGGAGAGGAAGGCGGAAUGCUUGGUGUAGAGGUGAAAUUCGUAGAUAUCAAGCGGAACACCGGUGGCGAAGGCGGCCUCUGGACGAUGACUGACGCUGAGACGCGAAAGCGUGGGGAGCAAACAGG